rnacentral:rRNA from 1 species
GAUGAACGCUGGCGGCGUGCCUAAUACAUGCAAGUCGAGCGAACGGACGAGAAGCUUGCUUCUCUGAUGUUAGCGGCGGACGGGUGAGUAACACGUGGAUAACCUACCUAUAAGACUGGGAUAACUUCGGGAAACCGGAGCUAAUACCGGAUGAUAUUUUGAACCGCAUGGUUCAAAAGUGAAAGACGGUCUUGCUGUCACUUAUAGAUGGAUCCGCGCUGCAUUAGCUAGUUGGUGAGGUAACGGCUUACCAAGGCAACGAUGCAUAGCCGACCUGAGAGGGUGAUCGGCCACACUGGAACUGAGACACGGUCCAGACUCCUACGGGAGGCAGCAGUAGGGAAUCUUCCGCAAAGGGCGAAAGCCUGACGGAGCAACGCCGCGUGAGUGAUGAAGGUCUUCGGAUCGUAAAACUCUGUUAUUAGGGAAGAACAUAUGUGUAAGUAACUGUGCACAUCUUGACGGUACCUAAUCAGAAAGCCACGGCUAACUACGUG